CGAAUAGCUUUUCUUUGCUCUCUCCCUGUCAAAUUGGGCGCCAAAAAAUCAUAUGCAGACAAUUGUGUACUGAGGGUUGCAACAUAUGAUAUUCAUAUGUGUACUUGCACACAUGUGUACAUACGUACUAUAUGCAGAAAGCCGUAUGCACUCAUAGUGACUGAGAACCGUCGGCACCAAAUUGGAUUAGUGGCUGAGAGAGAGAGAGAGAGACAGUGGCGUGACCCAGAGAACGCAUGGCAACGUAAUAUUUCCGGCGUGCAAUAUCCGUAUAGCCAAAUCAAACUUUACUUUACUAUACAUAGAUUUGACCACAUAUGUAAAAUUUUGAUCCCGGAGCCCGGAUUCCCGUGUCCGUUACCGCCAAGAGAACACACGUAACUGCAAUUAACCGUAAAUUGCGAAGAGAAACAGCAGAAAACAACGCCAAUGAGAGACAGAAGCAAAAAAAAAGCAGAAGUCUAACACAAGCCCGGAUCGCCCUGCCGAUUAGCAACUGCGGUCCCCAUCCAUGUACAUUGCACUAGCCGAAUGCAGAAAACAACUUAAUUACACAUGCUAGCAAUACUAAUGUGCCUAGACAGAUAGUCAUCAAUUACGAGGUGGUGUGUGUAUAAAAAUCCUAUCUUUUUAAAUUGGCAAUCAAAACGGAGAGCGCUACUAUUGCCUUGAUAAGAUUGCGCUUUGUCCAGACGAUUUCAUGGUUUACAGAUUAACCAUAACCUGCCGGUAAAUUGUUUAUUCUUAAAACCAAAGUAUUGAUUUUCAUAUCAUCUCAUUCAACAUUAAAUAAAAUGUCAAUGGUCUAAGGUAAAUUUAUAUUUACCUAAUAUUAGAUGCAGCCCGUUCCAAAAGAAAACUUUCGCUGAUCUCCAUGUCUCCUGUGCUAUUACCUGUGGCGGCGCCAACGAGUCCAGUAAUGUAAAAUGUAAAAUGUACUGCAUUUAUGUACAGCUACAUAUGAAUCUGGUACAAGGUUACAUAUUUAGAUUUUUAUAUUAAAGAACAUACUUUUUUUUGUAUCAUUUUAGUAUUGGGGCAUUAUCAUACAUUGUUUUGAAUUAAUUUGUUCAGAUUCCCGUUUUUUUUAUAUAUUGUUUUGUCUUUAAUUUAUGAAAUGUAACCUUAAUAAUUCCCCACAAUUUUUAAACAAAUUUUUGAAAAAACAUGACGCUGCUGUCUUGCUGAGUCGAUAAUGUGGCGUCACAUCCGCUGCAGCAGGAACAGGUGAUCGACGGCGGAAUUGUUGGUUCACGCCCACGGGAAAUAAUUCCAGCAACCCCACCAUUCAUACGCCGCCGAAUCAAACGCUGGUCUUCAGCUUCGAGAAGCAGGACUUCUGUAACCUACGCUUUGCCAGAAGCUGAGUCGUAUCCGGUUUCCCCCCGCCACACGGAGUCCUAUCCAAGCAUUACCGAGGCGUAUUCGAGACAUACCGAGGACUAUCCCAGCUAGACAGAAUCGUAUCACCUAACGAGCCAUCGUUAUCCUUCGACAUGGCCAGCGACGACAAGGACUUUGACUAUGGCUACUAGAUUCUAGAUAAUUAUCGUUGCUGUUAGGUUUAAGGAUUUACGCGAUUAUAUAUUAAGACAGUAGAUACAAAUGUUUUCCACAUGUUUAUUUAUUAUUACUAGGCUAAGUUAUGAUAA